UCUUCAUAUCAGUUUCUGAUACUAGAAUAACAAGAGGUUUCUUUAUAGCUAAAUGAAUGACUGAAACUUGGGGAAAAACAAGACAAAGCAUAUCAAGGAAUUAUAAAGAUCAAAGGUAAUGCAUUGAUAUGGUAAUUUUAUAUAUUUGAAAU